UGAAUAACACUUGUCUUCUUCUUUUUCUCAAAAAAAAAAAAAAAAGAAGAAAGAAAAAAACUCGUCUUCUUCAUUCACAUAUCUAUGACCUCGAUUAGUUUCUUCUAAAAUCUCGAAAUCGGAGCUUGUAUCGAAGGUUUGUUUGUAGAAUUUUGUAAAGUUGAUUACGAUUGGUGGUUUUUGGUGGUGAAGGAGACUUGAAGCUCUAAUUCGAAGCUCUAACUCGAACCAGACGCCGUGAUGAAGGAUACUUGAAGCUCUAACUCAAUUUUCAAUAAGGAGAAUUAGAAUGGUUGAGACAUAAACCUUGUUACUGCAAUAACAUGCUGCAUCAAGUAUCAUCUAGUAUAUCAAGUGACAAGGUAAGAUGAAGUGUGUAUUACAAAAGCAGCAAUUUGAGAACUAUGGAGAGCUAUAGAUGAAGCUAAAUUUGUAUCUAUCAUAUUGAUUCUGUGACAUGUAUAUUCUAUGUAAAAACAAGUUCUUUUGAUUAAUUGAAUUUUUAUACAGAUUAUCAUUUGAAA